UUCGUAAAAAUUAGCUCCCACAAGAAUGUUAGAAGUGAAUGUUGAUCUUGAAUAAACGUAGAUUCAAAUGAGCGUAAAUAUUGGAUUAUAGCUGCUAUAACGUCUUCAUAAUUAAUUAACAAACUUUGGUAUUUCACAAAUGACAGAUGGAAAAAUAAAGUCUUCGAAAAUGUACUAAACUAUUUUAUUCACUUUCUGGUCAUUUGGUGAAAAUUUACAUUUUUGAUUUUCCAGUAUCUUCAUUGUACCUGGCAUUCAUUAUGUAAGGAUUAUGUUGGAGAUUUCGUCUUAGUUGAGGAUUAAAUUCCGCUCCGAACGUAAUCGAAUCGCUCUUAUAUAAACAACACACACAGCACACACAUAUAUUUCAACGGAGUUAAAUUUAUAUUCGAGUGGAUUUGUGCGUUUUCAGCAGCCCACGCUCGAAUUUAUGUUCAUCUCUUCUUUUCCUACGGCAUCACCUCUCUUCUAAACCUUCCGAAUUUUCAGAGCACAUCAAAAUUCAUUUGGCACCGAAAAGCCGCACAUUUUCGCACGCUGCAUAAAUUACUGUUACAUGUUUAUUGCUCAUCCACUUACACAUUUAAAUUAUACUGUGGAUACAUGUAAAACGCGAGAAAUAGAAACGUCUCUCUCUCUUCUACCGUAACACGACGAGCCAAGUUUUGCGUUCACCCACCUACUACACACAUCUACGAAAUCAACCCACGCAAGUCGCAAAGUCUUUGGACGAUCUGAGAGGAGAUCGCGGAUGAAAGGACCGAAUUAAUAUCCCAAUUGCGGUCGACGGGCGUUCCUAGUGUUUCAUUCAAAAACUCCCGUCGCCGACUAAAAAUAAUUACACUAAUUACGUGAGAACGUCUCCAAUCUCUCGCUUUGUUUCCUCAAAUUAAUGAAUUUCAUUCA